UCUCACCACGCUGCUCCCAGCUGGCUGAACCUGCUGUGCCAGGUCCUCAGAUGAGCUGUGCCUUCUGUUUCCCUGAGGACACAUCAGAGGUACAUCACCUGCCUACAGAGCUACUUUGGGUAGGCUCUGCCAAGGCACCCACGGAACAGCAGAAACAGCCCAGACCUUUCUCAAACAGCCUUAUAGGAAGACUGAGAAUUCAGGGGGAUUGGGUGGUCCCUGCAGCCUGACCACCCCUUGCAGAACAAGUUACUGCUGGAAACCACCAAGGGAAGGAUCUGGACCUGGCAAAGAGUGACUGGGGAUAGAGGGGUCCUUCCUGGCUUCUGUUAAUUUUCUUCUCUUCUUCGGCUGUUGGCAAAGACAAAGCCAAGACAAUACAGAUGUGGUUUAUUUGCUUUUCAAGGCACAAAAACAUUUCAAGAACCUGCUAAAAUAAACAAAACAUACCAGCCUUCUCAGAUUCAAAGGCUGGAGGGAGCUCCCUCCCCACCUGGGUUUUCAGACAUCUCUUACUUGUAGGACUACAGGUAAGAGUCGACAUCCGGGGAUGUGUCAAU